rnacentral:lncRNA from 12 species
GUUAUUUGCAGCUUGCUUCUUUCCAAAGCAAUUUUCUUCUAUCUGCGAGCUAAGCUCUUCUGACCCUGCCUGAUUUCUGCAGCUGUUACGUGCAACUCCUUGCCUUGACGAUCUGACAGGCGUUUGGAGACAGCUCUGGCAGGCGGCAGGAAUGUGAGGGCCUCAGCUCCAGUCUGAGCCCCCAAGGACCCCACCCGGCUCUCUGCAUGUUCCAGAAGCUUCCAGAACAGGGCCAAGGGGUGGCACGCACACAGGAUGCAGCAAGUCCGAGCUCUCCCAGGCGGGGCCCAGUCAGGAAGCAAAGUCCUGCCGGUGAGAAGGCAAAGCCAUGUGGCACCCAAGCUCGGACAGGCUCGGGACAGAUGGCCAGAGCGCAGAAACAGGGUAAGAUGGAGCCUGGGCCUCUCAGAGAAGCCUCAGCACACAGGCCAAGUUGAGACGACGUGUGGCUUGGUGGUUGAGCACUUACCCACACCCCAUACUCGCAGGGCUCUUGUGCUCCUUACCCGUGUGGGAAGUUCUCUCCGUGUACGUGUGGUGGGUCUUUGGGCCCUUCUUACAUCCUCUCUGUCUUUUUUAAGUUUUGUGAUCUUCUUACGUCCUUUUAGUCACCCUCUGUUAACCCUGCUUUGGGUCUGCUGCCCUCCUGAGCCUAUCCAUCCAGUAGAUAGCCCCGCAGUUCCCAGCCACUCAAGGCCAUCAGCUUCCUGUUCAUCCUUCAUCACACAAGCUGGAGGUCACCUGUUGGGGACAAGUUCUCCAGAAGCUUCCAAGAGGUCAAUUCAACAGAUGUGCCUUCAGAGCCACCGCCUGGGACUGCCACGCAUUAGACAAGGCUUGUGGCUCCUCUUGGUAAGACCUCAAUUUAAC